CUUGGAAAAGAAGGCAGAGAAGAAGAAGAUGCACUUCUUCGACAAAAAGGAUUAUAAAAGAAACAAACAACUAAGGGCGUUUCUGUGAAGAACGAUGAAAACAACUCCAAGACUAUAAAGGGCCUCAACUUCUUCGCUUGUCAAAUUGUGAGCGACCGCAGUUGUGCAGCCCGAACCGGACAAUGUGAGCCCGUCAGCCUGGACCAUCGCCUGGUACUCCGGAGGCAAAAGUCCAGAUAGGUGUGGUGGAAUAUCUGUAACCGAAGGUUCCCUAUCAUACAGGUGUGGUGGAGUACCUGGAACUGAGGGUUCACUACGUGUCGUACUGCCAAAAGUGGGGACCCAAUCUGGAGGCGAGCAAGGAGGGUUGGAGGGAGAGGUGACACACAUCCCCCCACUGUCCUGUUCCUGCA